rfam:Bacillus cereus Rock4-18 chromosome, whole genome shotgun sequence.
AAGACAGAAAGUUAAGCGGUUACAAAAGUUUUUGGGAUUAUAAACUUAGGGGGAAAUGAAAAAUGGGAACAAUCGUAUGUCAAGAUUGUGAAGGUACAAUUGCACACUUCGAGGAUGAGAAAGUAACGGUACUUUACGGGAAAUGUGGAUCUU